AUAUGCCUUAUGGUGGGGGACAACAGUUGGAAACGACUGCUAAUACCGCAUGAUGUCUACGGACCAAAGUGGGGGACCUUCGGGCCUCACGCCAUAAGAUUAGCCCAAGUGGGAUUAGCUAGUUGGUGAGGUAAUGGCUCACCAAGGCGACGAUCCCUAGCUGGUUUGAGAGGAUGAUCAGCCACACUGGGACUGAGACACGGCCCAGACUCCUACGGGAGGCAGCAGUGGGGAAUAUUGCACAAUGGGCGCAAGCCUGAUGCAGCCAUGCCGCGUGUGUGAAGAAGGCCCUCGGGUUGUAAAGCACUUUCAGUAAGGAGGAAAGGUUAAGUGUUAAUAGCACUUAGCUGUGACGUUACUUACAGAAGAAGCACCGGCUAACUCCGUGCCAGCAGCCGCGGUAAUACGGAGGGUGCGAGCGUUAAUCGGAAUUACUGGGCGUAAAGCGUACGCAGGCGGUUUGUUAAGCGAGAUGUGAAAGCCCCGGGCUCGACCUGGGAACUGCAUUUCGAACUGGCAAACUAGAGUGUGAUAGAGGGUGGUAGAAUUUU
rnacentral:rRNA from 1 species